AGCGAACGCUGGCGGCAGGCCUAACACAUGCAAGUCGAACGAAGUCUUCGGACUUAGUGGCGGACGGGUGAGUAACACGUGGGAACGUACCUUUUGGUUCGGAACAACUCAGGGAAACUUGAGCUAAUACCGAAUGUGCCCUUCGGGGGAAAGAUUUACCGCCAUUAGAGCGGCCCGCGUUAGAUUAGCUAGUUGGUGGG
rnacentral:rRNA from 1 species